GUGCUCACUUCGGCAGUACAUGUGCUAAGAUUGAAAUGAUGCAGAGAAGAUUAGCAUGGCCUUGUGCAAGAAUGACAGGCAAAUUCAUGAAGCAUUCCAUAUUUUU
ensembl:snRNA U6 U6 spliceosomal RNA